rnacentral:lncRNA from 1 species
UUCAUUAAUCUUUUUUGUUUAUCUCUUUCUGUGAUGUUUUAUGGCUCUUUAUAUUCAAUUCAGUUAACCAACAUUUACUCAACUCACUCCUGCCCAUGACAAAACAUGACCAGGAUAGAAGGCAAAGAGGCUAUCUGAAACUUUUGGUGACCUGGUAAAGUGUUUUAGGACACUGAUGUUAGGAGAUAAUAGGCUCACUAAUAGUAGGACUGGCCGAUAGCUCUUACAAGAGCUCUUCUUCCUAUGCACAUCUGUGCGAAGAUGAUUAAAGAAAUCUCUUAAUCCUGAUGAAUUACCAUUUGGUCUUCAGCGUGCCCUACAUGGAUUUGAUGACAUCUUUUCAUCUGACUUGAGAGUGUCUUGUGAUUCAAAAUGGCUCUAAUUUUCACAUGGGGAAUGGUUGCCUCUGAAAAAUGAAGAAAGGUGAUCUGGUUGGUUCCCUUUGAUGCCUUUGGUCAUAAUGGAUGAUUAUUUGGAGUCCAGUUACUAACCUGAGUGGGAGGCUCUGCUUUGUAGUGAACAUUUACUUUCCUGAAAGGUCUUCUUCCUCCAAUGAUAUGGUGCCCUUCAUCUCAGUCUCAGAGUAUCUUACUUAACUGAAGCUGGAUCUUAUGACAAGUUGCUAAAGCAGCCAGAGAAACGACGGAUCUGAUUAUCUUAGCCAGCUUUAAGAUGGAAACCAGUUGUUGGGAUCAAAUCCAAAGGAUCUCCAUCUGUUUUAAUUAUGACUACUUGAUCAGAGAUGUUUUUCUGUGUCACAGAAACAAUGUGUGUGGUCUUCAGAAAGUCAGAAAAUUGUUUUUGGCUUCAGCUAUAUGAACUUACCCAUCAUUUCUUUCCGGCAAAUUGACCCACUGGCAGAAUUUACUGAAUCAACUAGUCAUUUUGAUAUUGUGUGCACAAAAUCAUCAGGAAACAAACAAAAAAGUGAUCAUGGCCAGAUACAAAGAGGAAAGGGAUCUCAUUUUUUGGUGAGAAAGCCUUGUAUUUUAUUUUUCUUAACUGAUACAGAGUGUCAAUGAUUAUAAGCUAUAUUUUUGAAUUUUUUAAAGCUCUUUUAUUAUUAUAUUUUUCUUGCAUGUGCAAUAUACUUUUUCAGUUUUUUUUAUUAUUUUUUCUCUCCUUUUUAUAUUUGAAGCACAUGUCACCAGUAUUAAGAUUUUCUUUAACUUUUUGACUUUUCAGUGCUACAAGUUUGAAAUACAUUUGCUAAUGCAUGCCCCAAAAGGCUUGUGACUAUAAAAAUGAUGCCACUAAUUAUUUAAAUUAUUAUGGGACUUUGCUUAAUGAUUCUGUCUGAUUCCAGGACAAGAGAUACACACAAGAGCCAUUGCACAAAGCCAAAGAAAAGCAAAUCUAGGAUGGAUUGAUGCACUUCUAGGCCAAUACAAAGGUCUUGAACCUAGUGUGAAGACUCAAGGUUACUAUGUUUAACAUGUGUUAAGACAUAGGCUUUCCUUGUAUCUACACUCACUCUGAAGAUACUCACAGAUGAGUAUCCCCAAAACCUUGGCUCCUACUUGGCUUCUAUAAUCUGGUCCCUUUCUUUUCUGCCUCUCAUAGUGUGGUACCUUUCUGUAGUCCUGGCACUGACUGGGUAAAUGCAUCAUUACUUAGAUCAUUUUAAUUGGGCCCUGAUUCAAGGACCUGUUAUAGAUUUAUUUUUCUUUUACUUGGAAUUUUUACACAUAAGACUUUGAUAGUCUAUAUUUUCAUCCAGAAUUUUUUCUUUUCUUUUUGAUUUUUCUGAUACCUUUUUAAUAUCUCUUGCCAAUUGAUUCAUAUACCUCAGCCAUGCAUCCCUAAGUGAUCCCGGUUUUUAAAUCACCCUCUUAACAGGGGGAAUGUAAAAAAAUUAUCAUUAUUUAAAUUGCAAAGUUUAAAUUCCUUUUGAGAAGAAUUUUAGGUAAAGAAGAUGCUACUUCCCUGAAUUCAGAAACUGAACUGUUGGAGAAGCCAUCAUGAAGAAGCCUCCAGACCACGAACUGCACAAAAUGAACUUUGGGUGUGGUUAAUGAACAU